rnacentral:tRNA from 1 species
AGAAAUUUAGGUUAAUAAUAAACCAAGAACCUUCAAAGUUCUAGAUAUGAGCCAUCAACCUCAUAAUUCCUG